GUGACAAUGGGAUAUUUUGAAUUUUGUAAAAGGAACACAAGAUCAGUGACAGAGUAACAUGGUUUGCUUUUACUUUACCCUCAUUCAAAGUAAUAAUUAGCAAAUCCUGUGCUUUUAAACCUAGCAGCAAUAACUUAGAAAUAAAAAUCUACUUUGGUAAGUUGAUUUUUACACUGCGUGUCUUUUUAAAGACAAUUUUAUCUACUCGUUUCACAGAUUACCUAAUCCGAAUAGACGCUACACAGAGUUCUGAGACAAAUGACACCAACAACACAGUAUGAUUCCAACUUCAGCACAAACAGCUUUCUCCUCUGAGGUUUUGACAACAAAAUGUUCUUUCUUACAUGAUGCAAAGAUAGAUCUGUUAUCAUUAUGAAAGCACCUGAUGUAACAAAUCAAAAAAUGUUAACAAAAAAUAGUGUUAAAUUAGUUAACAAUUCAGUUAAAGGUAGUGAGUCUGUGGCCUUACCGACAGCGAGGCCACUUUCCCUAACCACAAAGGUUUCACCGCCACUACUAGGAAGAGGUCACUGAGAAUACAGUAGAUAUUUUAAACAGACACUUUAAGUGAAGGUUUAACCUGCUUUAAUAGAGUUAUGCGAGAUUAUAAAUCCUCUUAGGCGAGACGCCACGAUGCCGUGAGUAAAAACAAAGCCGGCCCGCCGCUGAUAGCCAUCGCUAAAGGAUUUGGGUUAAAGGGAGGGAUUCAGUAGGCCAGUCAGAGAGCUAGGUUAACACAAUUAGGUUAGCACAAUACUUCAGCUACACUACAGAAAACAUGCUAUAUGUAAGCCAGAGGAAAGCAUGAAACGCUGUAACCACAGACGUUCAUGCAAAGCAGUCGGGCCAACAUGGAAGUUCGCUGCACUAGCUUUUCUGACCAACAAUGAAAUGCAGUCACUGGAACUCGAGUUAUUGAUGAAACAAAAAUGUAAAAUGCUGUUUCAUUGUCACAUGAUAGCUGACUCACUUUGUACGUUUAGUUUGGUAACAUCUGAGAGGAGGAAUAAAGCAUGUGGUUUUUUAUGUUUUUUUUUUAAAACUGAAGAACUGCCACGGCAACUCUCUGUAUAAUUAUGAUUUCUGUUCGCCAGCCUUUAAGUGAUCAACAAUGUAAAAGAUAACUGCCUCCAUGGCUGUGCUUCUACUUUAUAGGCCAGUGCAGUAGUGAGGGAAGGAAGGUGCUGUUAUUGUGCGAGGCUGUGUCAGCAGUCACUGUGGCCAUGCCAAGAUUAUAGCCAGCAAACACCUAACGUUGCAUCAGAUGGCUGCAGCUCAGCAGACUCUGGAGGGCCUUUGGCCUGGAAACGCCUCGGGAGCCCCAGAACGAGCUGGAGAGUCUCGCUGGAGGAGAUGAAUAUCUGGACUCCACGACUCCAUUUCACAUCAGUAAAAAACAGAAGGAUGUUGUUUUGACUGGGAACACAAAUAAACACACUUUUAAUGGCUUUCAAUUUGUGUAUAGAAGAAGGUUUAUUGCUGGUAUGUUCACAUAAAAAUAAAUCACUCAUUGCAAUCAUUUAUUAAAACAUCUACUUGCAUAUUUUACACUAAUCAAGUGCCCAUCUUCAACCCAAAUAGCCGAUGUUUUAAAAUGAUGUUAAAUGAGGGUAUUGGCUUUGAUUUAGUUUGAUGUGAGAGCUCUUUGCUUAAUAAAACGUUCAGCAA